rnacentral:rRNA from 1 species
AACGAACGCUGGCGGCAGGCUUAACACAUGCAAGUCGAACGCCCCGCAAGGGGAGUGGCAGACGGGUGAGUAACGCGUGGGAACAUACCCUUUUCUACGGAAUAGCUCUGGGAAACUGGAAUUAAUACCGUAUACGCCCUACGGGGGAAAGAUUUAUCGGGGAAGGAUUGGCCCGCGUUGGAUUAGCUAGUUGGCGGGGUAAAGGCCUACCAAGGCGACGAUCCAUAGCUGGUCUGAGAGGAUGAUCAGCCACAUUGGGACUGAGACACGGCCCAAACUCCUACGGGAGGCAGCAGUGGGGAAUAUUGGACAAUGGGCGCAAGCCUGAUCCAGCCAUGCCGCGUGAGUGAUGAAGGCCUUAGGGUUGUAAAGCUCUUUCACCGAUGAAGAUAAUGACGGUAGUCGGAGAAGAAGCCCCGGCUAACUUCGUG